rnacentral:rRNA from 1 species
UACAGAGGUGGCAAGCGUUGUUCGGAAUUACUGGGCGUAAAGGGCGCGUAGGCGGCCUACUAAGUCAGACGUGAAAUCCCCCGGCUUAACCUGGGAACUGCGUCUGAUACUGGACGGCUCGAGUUUGGGAGAGGGAUGCAGAAUUCCAGGUGUAGCGGUGAAAUGCGUAGAUAUCUGGAGGAAUACCGGUGGCGAAGGCGGCAUCCUGGACUAACACUGACGCUGAGGCGCGAAAGCUAGGGGAGCAAACGGG